GAUGAAUGAAAGAAGAACAAACAAACUGUCAUGGAGCACGCAAAGAUAAAGAUUACAAAAAGAGUCUUUUAAUAAACCCACAGAGAGUUAUCUCACUAGUAGCAAAAAACACAUAACUGUGACAAGGCCAGACAAACUAACGCUCAACAGAGUCCAACUUAUAAGGGCAAGGUAAUGAAAUUAAUUAAUGAGACACUGUGUUCAUUCUCAGACAAUGGCAGAAACUAGGUCACACAUGGGGAAUAAAAACAACAGGAAUGUGGAGAACCCAACACAAACAUAGGUUCAUUUAUAUUUAUGUCACGCCCCUGGACUGUGAUGCAGUGUUUUCUUCCCCCAUGUGUCUUGCCCUUAUUUGGUAGUUCCUGUUCUCGUUGUGAUUAUUAGUUAAUUAUUCCCUGCCUGUUUGUCCAUCUGUUUCAGUUUUCCUUGAUUGUGUCCCUGUCUUUAAAAACAUUCAGUUUGCCCUCUUGUCUCCGUCAGUUCUUAAUGUUGUUUAUUGAGUUUUAAGUAGUAAAAGAAUCCUUUUGUUAACCACUUUGUUCAUUUUGCCCACAACAUCUAUGUGUUUCAGAAGAACUGACCGGCCUAAUGAAGGAAGGCAGAAGAUGUGUUGAUCCUCAAGCUGCCAUGACGCUGUGCUGAGUUGUGAUCUUUUGAAGUCGAGGUAGCCCCAGCGUAAAGGCUAGCGUCUCCCCAGCUCAUCCCACUUCGGGUACCUCUGCAUGCUGCUCUUCCCGCCAGCCCCACAUGCCUACGUCCCCUUCAGAGCUCCGCCUGCAUCCUGAACCCAAUAGUGCCAGCAGCCAUGAAGUCAUGAGUGCUAGAAGCCGUGCCUAUGGCAAGCUCGCCGCUGUUUGUGGCUCAACCAAACCUGCCGGCGGGCCAUGUGGAAGCCGGUGAGGCAAUAAGCAGCCUGUGUCUCCGUGCUUGCUGGGCACCCCUGUGUCUCAGCGCCUCGAGCGUCCUCCACUUCCUACACCCUGUAGGCGUCCCAUGCCUCAACUGCACCAUUCAUGGAUUAUGGUUGAGGCUCCUCUCAUCUUUGUCUCUGCUGGUCCCGUUCUGACUCCUGAAUCCAGUACCAGAGUCAUGGCCAGGAGACCCAUUCCUUGCAGAGUCCUCCAGGGCCACUGCCUGAUCUGCCCUGGAAAUUCCUCCCUGUUCCUGCGCCAGCCUCCAGGUCCUUUUUUUUUUUUUUUUUGUUCAGCUGAGAUUUCUACUCACCGAAAGUGUCUGCUCAGCUACAUAGCCAGGGCUAGGCCCAACUAGACAAACACCUCAAAGCGGACAAAUAUUUUUAAAAAUUUACUGAAAUAUAACUUCAGUCAUUGUUAUUCACAUUAAACACCGCUAAAAAGCUUAUUUUACACAACGCUUAAUGUAGUGCAGUUUUAGCAGGCAUGGAGUGCAAAAUGAAUUUGAUAUGUUUUAAUGCAAGCAUUUCAGUCAAAUGCAAUUAAGCAGUCUUUGAACCAAAGGGUGUUAACUCAAAAUUUUUAGAGACAAAAAACUGCAUCCAUCUUGGACCUGACAAGCCUGCAUCCCAUCCAACAUGAUCUGCAUGUGUCAGAGUUCACUGAUCAUGGGUCGAGAGUAAAGAGGGAUGA